rnacentral:snRNA from 1 species
ACAUGUGAGAGUGAUCUGUCUGCACCACCUACACCUGCACUGAUCAUCAAGACUGAUGUGGCUGACCUGGGUGGGUAGGCAGGCAACCCGUUCUUCCCUCACCACUACAUGUGCAUCUGUCCCAAAGCUGCACAUUUGGUGGACGAUGACCACCCUGAGAGAAGAGGACCACGUCCUCAGUCAAGGGUUUACAAGUAGCUGUGCUACUGCAGUGUCCCAUGCAAGACUUUAUCAGGAGGCUAAUGGGUCUGUAAUGGAAGCCUAAAGAGUCU